AGAGUUUGAUCAUGGCUCAGAUUGAACGCUGGCGGCAUGCCUUACACAUGCAAGUCGAACGGCAGCGCGGGAGCAAUCCUGGCGGCGAGUGGCGAACGGGUGAGUAAUACAUCGGAACGUGCCCAAUCGUGGGGGAUAACGCAGCGAAAGCUGUGCUAAUACCGCAUACGAUCUACGGAUGAAAGCAGGGGAUCGCAAGA
rnacentral:rRNA from 1 species